rnacentral:rRNA from 1 species
UACGAAGGGGGCUAGCGUUGCUCGGAAUUACUGGGCGUAAAGCGCACGUAGGCGGAUUGUUAAGUCGGGGGUGAAAUCCUGGAGCUCAACUCCAGAACUGCCUUCGAUACUGGCGAUCUCGAGUUCGGGAGAGGUGAGUGGAACUGCGAGUGUAGAGGUGAAAUUCGUAGAUAUUCGCAAGAACACCAAUGGCGAAGGCGGCUCACUGGCCCGAUACUGACGCUGAGGUGCGAAAGCGUGGGGAGCAAACAGG